UGGGGAAUUUUGGACAAUGGGGGGAAACCCCUGAUCCAGCCAUCCCCGCGUGUGCGAUGAAGGCCUUCGGGUUGUAAAGCACUUUUGGCAGGAAAGAAACGUCGCGGGUUAAUACCCCGCGAAACUGACGGUACCUGCAGAAUAAGCACCGGCUAACUACGUGCCAGCAGCCGCGGUAAUACGUAGGGUGCAAGCGUUAAUCGGAAUUACUGGGCGUAAAGCGUGCGCAGGCGGUUCGGAAAGAAAGAUGUGAAAUCCCAGAGCUUACUUUGGAAUGCAUUUUUAACUACCGGGCUAGAGUGUGUCAGAGGGAGGUGGAAUUCCGCGUGUAGCAGUGAAAUGCGUAGAUAUGCGGAGGAACACCGAUGGCGAAGGCAGCCUCCUGGGAUAACACUGACGCUCAUGCACGAAAGCGUGGGGAGCAAACAGGAUUAGAUACCCUGGUAGUCCACGCCCUAAACGAUGUCAACUAGCUGUUGGGGCCUUCGGGCCUUGGUAGGCGCAGCUAACGCGUGAAGUUGACCGCCUGGGGAGUACGGUCGCAAG
rnacentral:rRNA from 1 species